AACGAACGCUGGCGGCAUGCCUAACACAUGCAAGUCGAACGAAGUCUUCGGACUUAGUGGCGUCCGGGUGCGUAACGCGUGGGAAUAUGACCUUGGGUACGGAAUAACUCAGAGAAAUUUGUGCUAAUACCGUAUAAUGUCUUCGGACCAAAGAUUUAUCGCCCAAGGAUGAGCACGCGUAAGAUUAGCUAGUUGGUGGGGUAAAAGCCUACCAAGGCGAGGAUCUUUAGAUGGGCUGAGAGGAUGGUCAGCCACACUGGGACUGAGACACGGCCCAGACUCCUACGGGAGGCAGGAGUGGGUAAUAGUGCACAAUGGGCGGAAGGCUGAUGCAGCAAUGCUGCGUGAGUGAUGAAGUCCCUAGGGUUGUAAAGUUCUUUUACCAGGGAUGAUAAUGACAGUACCUGGAGAAUAAGCCCCGGCUAACUCCGUG
rnacentral:rRNA from 1 species